rnacentral:lncRNA from 1 species
GAUUGCAUCAGUAAGGGAGUUAUUAAGAGAAAAGAUUGCCAUUUUUUAUAUGAAUAUUUAGGUUCUUGGGUAUUUCAAGGCUCAGGUGGGAGGCAAUCAUUUAAUUAAAUUAAUUUUUAACUAAGGUGGUGACACUGAGGGCUUGUGGAACUGUUGCGCUAAAUCAGAACUUAUAUCAUUUAACAGAUUUUCUUGCAUGAUUCAUUAGAAUACAAGAAUGUGUUCAAAUGAAACAUCAUUUUAAUUUUAUCACUCAUGUGUUGGGGUGCAAGAACUGAGAUGAAUUUCCUCAUAGUUUCUUUUUCAAAAAGCCUUUAUUUAAAGCUCUAAAUAUCAGUAAUAUUCAUAUAAUGCUAUAUCUCCUAAGUUGUCUUUUCCAUAUUGGAUUAUUACAAAUAGCAAUAUUAUAAUAUGUAUACAUUUGAAAAUAUGUUAUUUACCAGUUAAAAUUCCAAUUGUGACUGUUUCUUCUUUAAUGAUAAAGUCUUCAAUUUUUUAUAAGUUAAAAAUCUAUUUUAUUUGUUUUUAGGGAAUCCCAGGAUUUCCUGGAAACCGAGGAUUAAUGGGCCAAAAGGGAGAAAUUGGGCCUCCAGGACAG